CUUGGACGUAGCCUUUGGGGUCUCUGGAGAAACUUAGCAUGAAGUCCCUCUGGAUCUUGAGCUGGUUUAUGGACUCAAUUGUCUCAUGGAUCUACAGCUCUGAGCUCAGGCCGCACCUUACUGUCCAGGGCACUGAUCUCCUGCUGGUUGGCCGUGGACAGGAGGAAGCUGCUCAUCUGCCCCUUCAGCGGUUCCUCUACCUCCACGUCAAUGUCAUAGCACGCUGUCUUCUUCUGGUCUGAUGGGUCCACACUGCCAGAGAAGUCCAGCUUCUGAUGUCCACGCUUCCAGACACAUGUAACGGCACAGCUUCCACUGCUUCUCAUUUCAAAGACAGACAAGAGGCAGAAAGAAUAGCAAAGUAAGUUACCCCAGGUCUAGAUCCAAGACUGGCCGCGCCUCAGAGAUCCCAACUCCAAGGACCAAGAAGAUGACAUCACAGGAUGCCCUCCCCGCCCCUCCCCCAGUAGGGUCCCAGAUCUGCUUCCCUUGGGGAGCAGCUAAAUAGCCUGGGUUAGACCCUGCUCUUGGCUCCAGGGCCAUGACCCUGGACAUCUCUGGUAUUCAGAAACCCAGCAAGAGGAGAGAGCUGCUUUGGGGAGGUGCCUGCCGGGACACUUCCCUGCUCCCCGCCCGGAUCCUGGGCUAAGGACAUGUUACCUGCUGAAAGUACUUGUCUCCGUUGAUGUACUCCUUGUCAUGGGA